UGGGGAAUCUUCCGCAAUGGGCGAAAGCCUGGCGGAGCAAUGCCGCGUGAGUGAAGAAGGCCUUCGGGUUGUAAAACUCUGUCCUUAUCGAAGAGAGGUGGGUAUGUGAAUAAUGUACCUAUAGGACGGUAGAUAAGGAGGAAGCCCCGGCUAACUACGUGCCAGCAGCCGCGGUAAUACGUAGGGGGCGAGCGUUGUCCGGAAGUCACUGGGACGUAAAGGGCGCGUAGGCGGUUUAAUAAGUCAGUGGUGAAAACUGAGGGCUCAACCCUCAGCCUGCCACUGAUACUGUUAGACUUGAGUAUGGAAGAGGAGAAUGGAAUUCCUAGUGUAGCGGUGAAAUGCGUAGAUAUUAGGAGGAACACCAGUGGCGAAGGCGAUUCUCUGGGCCAAGACUGACGCUGAGGCGCGAAAGCGUGGGGAGCAAACAGGAUUAGAUACCC
rnacentral:rRNA from 1 species